rnacentral:tRNA from 1 species
AGAGAUGUAGCCAAGUGGUAAGGCAAGGGACUUUGACUCCCUCAUGCGUUGGUUCAAAUCCAACCAUCUCUG